UCCACGAAAAAAUGAAACUUUGAUAGCCUGUAGAGUUUCGGGCGCUGAGUCGAAUGGUCUUGGUCCGAAGUCUCUACGACGAAGCGUUCUUGAGAUAUUUCACUUUGAAAUUGCAAAAACGGGGGCCGCGCCCUGACGUCAUGCGGCCAUUUGGUUACAUCAUCACGGGCUGCCUACGUCAUUGUGGCAAAGUCGUUUCUCUUCGCCAGUCUACAAGCACUAAUUUUAGUUGGUAUUUCAAGGGAAGAUGGGCGAUUCCGAACAAUCCUCUGUCCCCAGCAAUGAAGGCAGCGAUGCUGAGGCCAGUGAGGACGACCAACAGCCCACCGCCGCGUAUGGUUGGGGCAGGGAGCCCAGAUACUCUGCUGAGGAGCUGCCAUCGCGUGUAACAAAUGUGGAGGAAGAAGAUGCGUCAGCAGCUGCGUCCGACAGAAGACGAGUAGCUUGGCCACCAGAAUCUCGAUUCGUUUGGGACUCCGACUGGUGCGAGCGUGGACAAAAGUGUAUAGCCAUGCCCAGCCCGCGGGAAUGAUUUUGCUGGUAGGAUGCUGCCGUCGCUGUCGACAAGACGGCCCAAGGUUUCUUGCGUAGCGGACCUCGCAGAUUACGAGAUCGUAUCCUUGCAUUAGGCUGUGCUCAUCACUGCUCUUCGAGGUUAUCUCGACAUGCAGAAGCCGCCAAUGCCAGUGACAGAAGAGUCUGACAUUAGAUCUCUACGCUAUGCGGCACACAGGCAGUACACACUAUGUACACGGCAAAUUGGGCAAGCACGUUCGUUGUCGUCUUCCAGCCUGCGUUGUGAAUACCAUCAGGCAAAGAUAUCCAAAUCCUGCACCACCUCAGCCUUCUCAGGAGGCUUCCACCUGGAAUUUGGCAGGGAAACACGCUUCUCCAAGGCAGGAACAUGGAGGUUGCCAUUUGCAACCGCUACCACCUCACACAUGAGCUUGUCAACAUACUCAUAGCUCUUUCUGUCGUAUAAUUUUCUAUUUGGCCACAGUCUUCUUUAUGCUUUGAGAACUGGACUUUAUACCUUCC